rnacentral:lncRNA from 1 species
GCCUGAAAGUUCCACUCAGUAAGUUGCUCUUCUGCCUUAAAUCUGGAGGCAACACAGCGUGGUGGGAAGAACACUGAACUUGGAGUCAUUCAUUCAUCGAAUGCCUGCCAGGGCCCCAGUCUCCUACUUACUGGGUAGACCUGGGCUCUUGGACUUUCACUUCCCUGUAAGACAGGGUGACAAUACUUGCUCUGCCUACAUCAUACCACACCGUUGUGAAGACGAAAUGAAACACUGCUUUCGAAGGUACCUGGAACCAGGAAGUUGUAGGUCCUUCUGGUUGUGCUGUGGGGGAUGCCGCCUCAGUACGGCCUGAUGAGUGGUACUAUGUCCGUGCCCAGGAUCUGAACCGGUGAAACCCUGGGCCGCCGAAGCAGAGCCUGCAAACUUAACCAUCCGGCCACAGGGCCAGCCCUGCCACAGGAUGUUCAUUACACACAGUUCCUGAGUUUCC